GAGUUGAAUGGGAUACCUAAAUUUCCCAUAGCAGACUGCUCAGUAACACAUGAUCAACUUACCCUAUGGAGAAAAAUAACCUCGGGAAACUGAGGAUAAUGUUUCAUAGUUGAAUAGGCUUGGAAAAGUUUUUCAAUUAAAGGGAUAAGAUAAAUGGUUCUUAUUUGCCAUAGGAUAGGAUCGUGUUCGAUUAUGGUAGUUGGUGAGGUAAAGGCUCACCAAGCCGAUAAUCGAUAGGGGCCGUGAGAGCGGGAGCCCCGAGAUGGGUACUGAGACAACGACCCAGACCUUACGAGGUGCAGCAGGCGCGGAACCUCCGCAAUACACGAAAGUGUGACGGGGUUACCCAAAGUGUUCAUAAUUGAACUGUGGUAGGUGAGUAAUGUCCCCUACUAGAAAGGAGAGGGCAAGGCUGGUGCCAGCCGCCGCGGUAAAAUCAGCUCUUCAAGU
rnacentral:rRNA from 1 species